UACGAAGGGGGCGAGCGUUGUUCGGAUUUACUGGGCGUAAAGGGCGCGUAGGCGGUUUCUUACGUUCCACGUGAAAGCCCCUGGCUCAACCAGGGAGGGUCGUGGGAAACGGGGAAACUGGAGGCAGCGAGAGGCUGGUGGAAUUCCAUGUGUAGCGGUGAAAUGCGUAGAGAUAUGGAGGAACACCAGUGGCGAAGGCGACUUUCUGGUCUGCAACUGACACUGAGGCGCGAAAGCGUGGGGAGCAAACAGG
rnacentral:rRNA from 1 species